CGCUUUGGUGGCCUAAGUGGUCAGAGUGUCCGCUUCCAAUGUGAUAGGUCGUGGGUUCGAGUCCUGGCCGAGUGA